UGUCUUCCUCUUCUUCUUCUUCUUCUUCCGCUUUGUACACAGGGAAUUCAAAGUUGCAAGAGGGCAUAAGGUCAUUGGUUUUAAUGGACAUGUCAUAAAUUAAUCUGCACAUGUGAUUUUAUGCUUGUUUUAGAAACAGAUAAAAGUGUGAAGUUAUGUGCAGCUAUCUGGAAGUGUUUAUUUGUUUAUUUUAGAUUACCAUUUUCCAGAAAA
rnacentral:lncRNA from 1 species